rnacentral:rRNA from 1 species
AUCGAACGCUGGCGGCAGGCCUAACACAUGCAAGUCGAGCGAGCGGCGGACGGGUGAGUAAUGUAUGGGGACUGCCCGAUAGAGGGGGAUAACUACUGGAAACGGUGGCUAAUACCGCAUACUAUCGGAUAACCCAUAUGGGAUUAGCUAGUAGGUGGGGUAAAGGCUCACCUAGGCGACGAUCUCUAGCUGGUCUGAGAGGAUGAUACGCCACACUGGGAAUGAGACACGGCCCAGACUCCUACGGAGGCAGCAGUGGGGAAUAUUGGACAAUGGGGGAAAGCCUGAUGCAGCCAUGCCGCGUGUAUGAAGAAGGCCUUAGGGUUGUAAAGUACUGUCAGCGGAGAGGCGUUACCCACAGAAGAAGCACCGGCUAACUCCGUGCCAGCAGCCGCGGUAAUUC